rnacentral:rRNA from 1 species
UACGAAGGGGGCUAGCGUUGUUCGGAAUUACUGGGCGUAAAGCGCGUGUAGGCGGGUCUUUAAGUCAGGGGUGAAAUGCCAAGGCUCAACCUUGGAACUGCCUUUGAUACUGGAGAUCUUGAGUCCGGGAGAGGUGAGUGGAACUGCGAGUGUAGAGGUGAAAUUCGUAGAUAUUCGCAAGAACACCAGUGGCGAAGGCGGCUCACUGGCCCGGAACUGACGCUGAGACGCGAAAGCUGGGGGAGCAAACGGG